UAAAGAUUCAUCGCUGAUAGAUAGGCAUGCGUUCCAUUAGGCAGUUGGCGGGGUAACGGCCCACCAAACCGACGAUGGAUAGGGGUUCUGAGAGGAAGGUCCCCCACAUUGGUACUGAGACACGGACCAAACUCCUACGGGAGGCAGCAGUGAGGAAUAUUGGUCAAUGGGCGUAAGCCUGAACCAGCCAAGUCGCGUGAGGGAUGAAGGUUCUAUGGAUCGUAAACCUCUUUUAUAAGGGAAUAAAGUGUGGGACGUGUCCUAUUUUGUAUGUACCUUAUGAAUAAGGAUCGGCUAACUCCGUGCCAGCAGCCGCGGUAAUACGGAGGAUCCGAGCGUUAUCCGGAUUUAUUGGGUUUAAAGGGUGCGUAGGCGGCCUUUUAAGUCAGCGGUGAAAGUCUGUGGCUCAACCAUAGAAUUGCCGUUGAAACUGGGGGGCUUGAGUAUGCUUGAGGCAGGCGGAAUGCGUGGUGUAGCGGUGAAAUGCUUAGAUAUCACGCAGAACCCCGAUUGCGAAGGCAGCCUGCCAAGCCAUGACUGACGCUGAUGCACGAAAGCGUGGGGAUCAAACAGGAUUAGAUACCCUGGUAGUCCACGCAGUAAACGAUGAUCACUAGCUGUUUGCGAUACAGUGUAA
rnacentral:rRNA from 1 species